AGUGGCAGUGAAAACAUUACUCACUGGGCCCAGGGAGUACACAGGAGCCUCCAAGACACCUCGAGUAUCCUCAGAACUGCUGUGGAUAGGCCAUGGCCCAGGAUGAGAGAAAAACUUCAGAUAAAGUGGAGGAGGCGCUCGUGGUAAAUAAGAAUGAACACCAGAGUAGUGAGGAACACAUGAAAAUAGAAACGUACCUGGUAACACUUCCAACUGCCAUGAAGAAGUUUGCAAAUAUCCCAGAUAGGAAAAAGUUGCAUCCAGAGUACAAGGAUUCUUCAGAAAGACCAUUUGGUUUGGGCCCUCUCAUUUUCCCUUGUUUACAGCGUUUCAACAACAUUAAGACCUUCCUGUUUCUGCUCUUUGUAGCAGUCUUUGCUCAUGGUAUGCUAUUUGCUCUUGUUGAUGUCACCAUAGUUGUUUAUGCAUCUCAUUUUUCAACGUCAAAUUCAGAGACAUUCAUAAUGAAUUUUAGUGAUUAUUUUGCUGCUUUCUUGGUUGCAAUGUUUGUAGGAUACUUUGGCGGUAGAGGGAAUAGGGCAAAAUGGGCAGCAGCUGGCAGCUUUGUAACAGGACUUGCAGCAAUUGUUUUUGCUGUUCCUAUCUAUAAUUAUGAAAUUAUAACACUGAGUCAAGUAAAAGAAGAGUUGUGCAAGGAAGGAAAAAUGACAACUAAAGUUUGUGAAGAAACAUUAAUACAGAACAAAUCAAUAUGUAUCUUUCUCUUCAUCUUCGGGCAGUUUCUCCAUGGAAUAGCAGGGAUGCCAAUGUAUAUACUUGCCACAACAUUCAUUUUUGACCACGUUCCAACAAACUCAUCUGGAUUAUAUUUAGCUAUUGCAGAUGCUGCACUAAUAGUGGGAUACACUCUGGGUUUUACAGCAGCAAAAAAAAAGUUGCCUAUACAAGAAGCUAUGCAAGCAGUUGGACAUGUUCAGAGGUUUCGAAUAUUGCAGCGUCAUUGGUGGAAAUCUUUUUUUAUUGCUGCUGUAAUUGCAUUUAGUACAACUUUACCACUGCUCUGUUUUCCAUCUAGUUUGCCUGGUGCACACAAGUUAAGACUUAAAAGAAGGGGACCUCCCACCAUUGACACGAGACUUAAAAAUAAGAAAAUCAAGCCUAAUUUGAAGAGUAUUCUUCAUGCUGUUUGGUGUCUACUGAGGAACCCAUUGGUGCUGACUCAGACAUUCUGCAAAGUCACAGAGGUUUUGACUUUUAAGGCAUCUUCACAUUUUUUGCCUCGAUAUUUACAAACUCGCUUUUUAAUGGCACCUUCACGUGCCUCUAAAUUCUCAGGUGCUCUUGUACUUUCAGGAAGUGGCAUUGGCCAUUUUGUUGGAGGCUACAUUGUUGACAGAUUGGAAAUGGAUAAUAAGAGCAAAUUGAAAUUAAUAGCAAUAUCUGCUGUUGUGUCAGCUGUGCUUUUCCUAUUAACAUUUUUUGUGGAGUGUGAAACAGCAAAAUUUCAAGGAAUCAAUGAUGAUUAUGAUAGCUCAGGUAGACUUGGAAACCUCACAGCUCCGUGCAAUGAGAACUGUGGCUGCACAACUUCAGUCUAUAAUUCUGUGUGUGGAAGAGAUGAGAACCAGUAUUUCUCUCCCUGCUUUGCAGGAUGCAGAGCUACUAAAAGCCUAAAGGAGAAAAAGGCAUACUACAAUUGUUCUUGCAUUAAUGAAGGAUUGAUAACUGUUGAUCAGGAAGGUCAAGAGAUUGAUGCUGUUUCUGGAACAUGUGAUACCAAAUGUCAUACAAUACCUUUGUUUUUUGCCUUUUACUUUUCUGCAACUGUUUUUUCUCAUUUAAGUAGUAUACCUGUCAUCUUGAUUAUCAUUCAGUAUGAUUGAAGCAUUCUUACUUGGGGCCUUCUGUUUGUUAACCUCCUCGAAUUCUGUAGAUUAUAUCCUAGGAAUUCUUUUUUGGCUAAUAUCCAUUUACUAAAGUGUACCUGCCAGUUGGAAUUCAAUGGCCUUGGGUUUUACAUAUACAGUUUGGAGAUUCACUGGAGCUGUUCCUGGACCACUAUUAUUUGCAGCAACAUCAGAUUUUACUUGUAAAUUCUGGGACAUUAAUGAAUGUGGAAAUAAAGUACGUUGUUGGAUCUUUGAUAAGCAAAAUUUGGUUUACACAUUUCAGAUAAUAUGGAUUGGCCUGCAAGGAUUGGCAGGCUUUCUUUGUUUUUAUGCUCUUUCCAGAUAUGAUUAUGUGGUAAAUGAAAAGACAGAAGAACUGCCUACACCUGUAAAUGUUAAAAGAACUGAAGAAUUCUAACUGAUUUCUUCAUUGGGACAUCAAGCCUUCCCAGGAUCAAGAGCCUAUUCUCCCAUUGAAGUCCAACAAGGCCAUCCUUUGCUACAUAUACAGCUGGAGCCAUGGGUCCCUCCAGGACUGGAGAAUCUGUGAGGUUCUGAGUUCUAAGGAGAGCAGUCUAUCCUUUGAAGAUUUCAUAAGAUGUGCUAUAAUUUCAGAAGAGAAAAAUACCAUUAAAGUGUCUGUGUGGAUCUUUAUUUUCAUAAUAAAAAUACUUGUAUG